rnacentral:lncRNA from 1 species
CCGGGGGACGGGGGGCAGGAUGGAGUUCAAGGGCCGGGAGAGUAUUUUGGUCUUGACCCCUGGGGCUCCGUGCGAGAGGUGGCCGGGCCCUCGACUUCUGUUUCCCGUUCUAAAAGGAGACCGCGUCAGCUUCCCCUUCUGACUCGGGCUGAAUCCCACUGCUGGCGCACGGUGAAGCGCGCGGACCCUGCCCGGGCUUCCGCGAGACCCAGACGGGCACACUGGCUGGCCUUCUCCCAGCUCCAGGAGCCCAGGACACCCCACAGAGGCAGCUCGGGCUGGUGGUCGGAGGUGGGGAGUUUGGAGUCCAUGGGAUCCAAGUUCAAGUAUCAGCAGUGCCUGCUCCUGGACGUGUGACUUCACCUCUCUGGUCCUGCCGGCUGUCUAGGAAAGGGGGAUGUAACGCACCCCCUGGGCCUGGCGUAAGCGUCCGGAGACGGGUCUGGUUACCGGUAAGAGCUCACCGCCCUUUCCAGUUUGCAAAGCACUAUGGCGGCUGUUACCUUAGUAGCUAAAUAGCUGCUGCUGGGGCUCAGAGGCGGGCUGCGCCUGUCCCGAAGCAGGAGGUCAGCUGGCUCCAGGCCCCGUGCCCCUCGCUGCCCCCUUUCCGCCUUCCCGCUGCCUCUAAGCUGUGGGUGCCCAGCACAGCUGCCCGAGAGGCCGCGAGCGGGCCCCGGGUCGAGUUCCGGUGUUGAUAUUAACGUGCUGGAUGACUUUGGGCAAGAGGCUUCCCCUUUCUGUUCUCACUGUCUUUCAGAGUCGAAAGCCGCAUCAUCUCCAGAGUACCUUUUCCCAAAUUCGACAGGCUGAGAAUCUUCCGCUACCAGGGAGGUCGACUGGGGUAGUCGACUGGGAGGUCGACUCACGUUUGUAUCCUCACCGCGAGCCCCUCUCGUGCCGGACGUCAGCUAGACGCUCCGAGUACAUUAUUCUAAUCCUGACACCAAGCCCUGGGGGGGAAGCCAUUUUGUUCCCAUUGUGCAGACAGGGAAACUGAGGCUCGGGGAGGAGAAAGGACUUCGAGAAGGCCACACCAGUGAGUGCCAGAGAUGGGCUUGAGCCCACGAUGAUCAGGCUCCAGACGCAGCCGUUCCCAGAAGGUGCCUUCCGUCGGGCCCUGCACGGCUCUUUGUAAACGACCAGGCUUCGCCCUUGGCCGUCAAACUUGGGAGCGAACAAAUCACACAAUGUUGGCGAUUUGAGGACGGCCAGAGCCACGGGGCAGAGAAACCCAUCCAGCAUCCCUCUUCCGUGCACAUCCACCGUGCACCUGUCCCGUGCCGGCCUGGUGCUGGGUGUGGAGUUCAAGACAAAACAGGACCUACCCGGCCUGGCCCCGAGAAGCUCUGCCCGGCAGGCGGCAUCGCAAGCCACGGACGAAUGCAAAACGGCGCGGCGAGAGCCCAAGCGAGGGCCAAGGACUUUCCGAUGAAACCCAGAAGGUUCCACUCAGGUCUCGCUUUCCGCGUACAUCUUCCUUGCGUUUUCUCCGCUUGAGGCCGUGCACACGUCGGAGCCCCACUCAGUGGAGGCUGGAGAGCUGUUUCUCCCACUUCUGCGUUGCCCGUCGUGUACAACACAUGCUAUGAAGGUAGCACCGGUGACGGUUUUAAUUAAGUGGCCCACGAAGCGGUGAGUGGGCAAGUGGGUGAGGGAGUGAACGAGCGUAGCACUUAGGCGUAGAGACUGUUAUUUUCUAUGUGACCCGCGCGGGCGUAGAGCCCGUGGUGGUGCCUUACUGAGGACGACCUUCGUUUGCACAGGACACGUGAGCUUCUCGGUCGCUACUCACAACUUAGGACCCAGCGCGUGGUCCGCGAAUCCGCGUGUGCAACUCGGGAGCUGGGCUCUACCGUUGCUGAUCCCGAGACGUAAAAUCAGUUCUUCCCCCCGCCCCCCUAGCCUCUGCGUCCCGAUCUUUGGUAUCCCACAGAGAAAUCUGAGCGCCCUCCCCGCUCCUCAGAGGUUUGUUUACAAGGCCGGCGACGUUCUGGAAGGCACCGCGCCAGCCCACGAGGGGUGACGACGAGCCUCGCGUUCCGCGGACCUCACGUUGGCGGCUUGGAUCGGCCACACUGGGAGUGGUUACCCCACGGAAAUUGGCAUAUGUGGGGUUUGUUGUUGUUGUUGGUUCUGGAAAAGAGUUAAAUUUCUAGCAGGACCUUUCUGGGGUACCACUUGAAACGGUCCAAAUCUCUUUGAAGUAUCUGGUGUUCUCUUUAAGAUCCCUCUGUGUUUUGCAAUUACCCAGAAAACAUCAUCUUUUCUGUUAAUAAAACAUUU